AUACCAUGGUGAGGGCAUUUGUGUAAUAACUCUUUGAAUCCUUCCCAAGCAUCGUAUAGGGACUCAUCAUCCAUUUGCUGAAAAGUGGUGAUCUCAUUCCCCAACUU
rfam:Gossypium hirsutum cultivar TM-1 chromosome 18, whole genome shotgun sequence